rnacentral:lncRNA from 1 species
CCAAACCCAUAUAUGACUCGACCCAUUCCCAAAUAUCAGACGCAAAGAACGGGCAAAGCCCUAAUCUCCCCAAGCCCAGGUGACUGUUCUUCUUCUCCAUAGAAGAACAUGAACCAAGCCUCAAUCUCAGUCCAAAUACAAGCGAGUAAGCCUCAAAUCUCUCAUCACGCGUUCCUCCUUCUCUUCUCAUCACCAUUUCUAAUGAUUUCUAACACCGAAGAUUCUCCUUCCCUUCACUCGUUCGAUUUGGAGAUAAGGCACGCGAUUGGAUGGUCCUAGAGAAGAUUCGUUGGAUGACUGUGAGACGUUGGAUUGAUUUCGUUCAAUCCAAGCCCCACAUUCAUCAAGGGUUCGUUUUUAUAAAGGACCAUAUCCGAUUUUGAAAGGGAAGGGAUUUUUUUGGAUUUUGGGGAAUUUAAGGAAAUUUGGAUGAGUUUUUUAUAAAAGGAAUACUUCUGGUUUUUCUCUGAAUGAUGGAGUUCGUUUAAUAUGGAGUUCUAUUGAAAAUCGUUGAGUUCGUCGUUGUCCGAGCUUCUGAUUCCUACUCAUUUCUGUUAAUAGUUGUUGAUAUUUGUUAUUGUAUUUCACUUGUAUUCAAAAUUUGAGCUAAGUUAAUCGCAGGUGCUUGUUGAUUCAGGUUCAUUUCUAAUCCCAUGUAGCCUAUCUUUGGCGUUUGAUUAAGAAAUGUAUUGAGAAUUUGAGUUCAGCUGGUUUGGAACUAUUUGAAUCUUGCUGACUGUUGGUCGUAGUGUAUUUGUUUGCCAUUUUUACGCGUAUUUCUGGCUUGGUUUGGUUGUGUACAUCUUAAAAGAGUUCUCUGAAAGUGUCUUCUGUUGUUGUCCUGUCACGGUAUGAUUAGCUCGUGAUUGAUUCAGAAUGUGAGCUAUAUUCUUCAUUUUCAGUUUUGCUUCUUAGCUAUGUAUCGAUUGGAUGUUGUACACGUGAUCUGGUCUUCAACUAACACAGUGAUGGAGGGCGGAAUUGCUUGACUUUGGUAGGAAUGAUGGAGGCUUGAUCGAGCCUGUGGUUGUUAGAUAAGGUGUUGCAUAAGUUGGUCGAUUCAGUGACGAUUGCAGAAUUUCUUGUACAUCUCUAAUUCGAUACGAGUUCAAGAAAUUGUCACUCAAUUAGUUUUGUUUACUGCUUUUCUGUGGCUCGAUCAGUUGCACUUAUCAGAACAUGUUACAAAUGGCAAAAGUCUAGUGAUUCGUGUUUUCUAUGAAGCAUCAUCUAAUGUAGAUCUCACUUGUCCAAGUGAUGAGCUGAUUUAACUUGGGUUCCAUGACAAAGUUUGUUUCAUCCUUGUCGUGUUUGAUUUUGUUUUGCGUUGGUAUAAAGGGGUGUUGAAGCCAAAUUGUUUCACUAAUUGUGUAUGCUCAUGCUUGCUCUAUUUUCCCUCUUUUGUCGAAAUUUCGUCUGCCUUGUUACUGCCAUAGUAAUUUUGCUCUUUCAAGUUGCUGAAGAACUCAAUUUUAGCAGUAGAUCGAGCUGAUACAGGUAGUAUUUUUGGAAAUUUAUUUGGACUGGUAGUCCACUGAAAAUGUACCAUGCUCUUGCACUGUUUAUAAGAAAAAUCUGCACAAUUUAUGAACAAGAUCCUGCAGUGGCGGUUUUCAAAGUUUUCCUACUAAGGUUGUUUGAUUUUAUUGGUACAUGCAGCCUAUGCAUAUCUUUAGGUUUAAAGGAAUCAAAUCCAUGCCAUUUCUCAGCUGUAGUUUUACUUUGCUUGCAGAAAUUUUAAAUGUCGAUUCAUGCCCAAGCUAGAUCUAAAAUGAUGCCUGAAGUGUUGAGCGCUUUCUCUGGACUUGAGUCACAUUUCUGUGUCUGAUUGUAUGCUCCUGCGAAAUAUAACAGGUCGUUACAUGGCGAUUCAUUUGCUGCAUUCUUGUUUUUUUUUACGGUGGCGUAAGUUUUGAUAUCAAAGGGGCCAGUAUUCUUCAUUAGAUUU